AUGCUUACUUUGGCAGCACAUAUACUAAAAUUGGAAUGAUACAGAGAAGAUUAGCAUGAGUCCUGGGCAAGGAUGAUACGCAAAUUUGUGGAGCAUAACGUAUUUUU
rnacentral:snRNA from 1 species